UACGAAGGGUGCAAGCGUUAAUCGGAAUUACUGGGCGUAAAGCGCGCGUAGAUGGUUUGUUAAGUCGAAUGUGAAAUCCCCGGGCUCAACCUGGGAACUGCAUCCAAAACUGGCAAGCUAGAGUAGGGCAGAGGGUGGUGGAAUUUCCUGUGUAGCGGUGAAAUGCGUAGAUAUAGGAAGGAACACCAGUGGCGAAGGCGACCACCUGGGCUCAUACUGACACUGAGGUGCGAAAGCGUGGGGAGCAAACAGG
rnacentral:rRNA from 1 species